GGAGCGUUAGCUCAGCUGGGAGAGCAUCUGCCUUACAAGCAGAGGGUCGGGGGUUCGAGCCCCUCACGCUCCACCA
rnacentral:tRNA from 1 species